rnacentral:rRNA from 1 species
UGGGGAAUCUUAGACAAUGGGGGAAACCCUGAUCUAGCCAUGCCGCGUGAGUGACGAAGGCCCUAGGGUCGUAAAGCUCUUUCGCCAGAGAUGAUAAUGACAGUAUCUGGUAAAGAAACCCCGGCUAACUCCGUGCCAGCAGCCGCGGUAAUACGGAGGGGGUUAGCGUUGUUCGGAAUUACUGGGCGUAAAGCGUACGUAGGCGGACUGAUCAGUCAGAGGUGAAAUCCCAGGGCUCAACCCUGGAACUGCCUUUGAUACUGUCAGUCUUGAGUUCGAGAGAGGUGAGUGGAAUUCCGAGUGUAGAGGUGAAAUUCGUAGAUAUUCGGAGGAACACCAGUGGCGAAGGC